rnacentral:rRNA from 1 species
UUUGCUUAAAAUAAAAGGUCCAGCCUGCCCAGUGACACUGUUCAACGGCCGCGGUAUCCUAACCGUGCGAAGGUAGCGUAAUCACUUGUUCUUUAAAUAAGGACUAGUAUGAAAGGCACCACGAGAGUCAUACUGUCUCCUCUUUCCAAUCAGUUAAACUAAUCUCCCCGUGAAGAAGCGGGGAUAACUUUAUAAGACGAGAAGACCCUAUGGAGCUUUAAACGAAUAACACUUGCCCACCUCUCCUUUAAUUUCAGAAAAAUCUAUUACCUUGGCAUCAUACUUAUAAGUUUUUGAUUGGGGUGAUCACGGAACAAAAAAUAACCUCCGCAAUGAAAGACUCUCAUAACUAAGUCAAGAACCACAACUCUACACAUCAACAAAUUGACACCAAUUGACCCAAUUUAUUGAUCAAUGGAC